rnacentral:rRNA from 1 species
AACGAACGCUGGCGGCAGGCUUAACACAUGCGAGUCGAGCGCCCCGCAAGGGGAGCGGCAGACGGGUGAGUAACACGUGGGAAUCUACCCAUCCCUACGGAACAACUCCGGGAAACUGGAGAUAAUACCGUAUACGCCCUUCGGGGGAAAGAUUUGUCGGGGAUGGAUGAGCUCGCGUUGGAUUAGCUAGUGGGUGGGGUAAAGGCCUACCAAGGCGACGAUCCAUAGCUGGUCUGAGAGGAUGAUUAGCCACAUUGGGACUGAGUCACGGCCCAAACGCCUACGGGAGGCAGGAGUGUGGAAUAUUGGUAAAUGGGGGCAAGCCGGAUCCAGCCAUGCCGCGUGAAUGAUGAAGGCCUUAGGGUUGUAAAGUUCUUUCACCGAUGAAGAUAAGGACGGUAGUCGGAGAAGAAGCCCCGGCUAACUUCGUGCCAGCCGCCGCAGUAA